rnacentral:rRNA from 1 species
UACGGAGGGGGUUAGCGUUGUUCGGAAUUACUGGGCGUAAAGCGCACGUAGGCGGCUUUGUAAGUUAGAGGUGAAAGCCCGGGGCUCAACUCCGGAAUUGCCUUUAAGACUGCAUCGCUAGAAUUGUGGAGAGGUAAGUGGAAUUCCGAGUGUAGAGGUGAAAUUCGUAGAUAUUCGGAAGAACACCAGUGGCGAAGGCGGCUCACUGGCCCGAUACUGACGCUGAGGUGCGAAAGCGUGGGGAGCAAACAGG